rnacentral:rRNA from 1 species
GAUGAACGCUGGCGGCGUGCUUAACACAUGCAAGUCGAACGUGAACCAGUAGCAAUAUUGGUGAAAGUGGCGGACGGGUGAGUAACACGUGGGUGACCUGCCUUGCAGUGGGGGAUAACGAGGGGAAACCUUCGCUAAUACCGCAUAGGCUUACACUGAUGGGAAUGGUGUGGGUAAAAUUUCGGUGCUGCAAGAGGGGCCUGCGUCCGAUUAGCUAGUUGGUGAGGUAAUGGCUCACCAAGGCGAUGAUCGGUAGCUGGUCUGAGAGGACGAUCAGCCACACGGGAACUGAGAAACGGUCCCGACUCCUACGGGGGGCAGCAGUGAGGAAUAUUGGGCAAUGGACGGAAGUCUGACCCAGCAACGCCGCGUGGA